rnacentral:rRNA from 1 species
UUCCGGUUGAUCCUGCCGGACCUGACUGCUAUCGGAUUGAUACUAAGCCAUGCGAGUCAUUGUAGCAAUACAAGGCAGACGGCUCAGUAACGCGUAGUCAACCUAACCUAUGGACGGGAAUAACCUCGGGAAACUGAGAAUAAUGCCCGAUAGAACACUAUAUCUGGAAUGGUUUGUGUUCCAAAGGAUUUAUCGCCGUAGGAUGGGACUGCGGCCUAUCAGUUUGUUGGUGAGGUAAUGGCCCACCAAGACUAUUACAGGUACGGGCUCUGAGAGGAGUAGCCCGGAGAUGGGUACUGAGACACGGACCCAGGCCCUAUGGGGCGCAGCAGGCGAGAAAACUUUGCAAUGUGCGAAAGCACGACAAGGUUAAUCCGAGUGGUUUCUGCUAAAGGAACCUUUUGUCGGUCCUAGAAACACCGAUGAAUAAGGGGUGGGCAAGUUCUGGUGUCAGCCGCCGCGGUAAAACCAGCACCUCAAGUGGUCAGGAUGAUUAUUGGGCCUAAAGCAUCCGUAGCCUGCUUUGUUAGUUUUCGGUUAAAUCUAUACGCUCAACGUAUAGGCUGCCGGGAAUACUGCAAAGCUAGGGAGUGGGAGAGGUAGACGGUACUCGGUAGGAAGGGGUAAAAUCCUUUGAUCUAUUGAUGACCACCUGUGGCGAAGGCGGUCUACCAGAACACGUCCGACGGUGAGGGAUGAAAGCUGGGGGAGCAAACCGGAUUAGAUACCCGGGUAGUCCCAGCCGUAAACCAUGCAAACUCAGUGAUGCAUUGGCUUGUGGCCAAUGCAGUGCUGCAGGGAAGCCGUUAAGUUUGCCGCCUGGGAAGUACGUACGCAAGUAUGAAACUUAAAGGAAUUGGCGGGGGAGCACCACAAGGGGUGAAGCCUGCGGUUCAAUUGGAGUCAACGCCGGG